UAACACGUGGGGAACCUGCCCCUAAGUCUGGGAUACCAUUUGGAAACAGGUGCUAAUACCGGAUAAUAAAGCAGAUCGCAUGAUCAGCUUUUGAAAGGCGGCGUAAGCUGUCGCUAAGGGAUGGCCCCGCGGUGCAUUAGCUAGUUGGUAAGGUAACGGCUUACCAAGGCGACGAUGCAUAGCCGAGUUGAGAGACUGAUCGGCCACAUUGGGACUGAGAUACGGCCCAGACUCCUACGGGAGGCAGCAGUC
rnacentral:rRNA from 1 species